GAAAGGUAUUGGUCAUUUUGCAAUUCCCCGGCACUGAGACAGUUGGUUAGUUCUCAAGUCCUGGACAUAAACUGGCCCAAGGAGGGAGAAAUCAGGCAAGAGGAAAGCAGAAGGAACGUUCAAGUUUCUGGAAGCACCGGGAAGGACAAGUUCUUGUUCAUAAAUAGGAGAAACAAAUAGGUCAUGGUACUGCCUGGCUCCUUCCACAAGCAGAGGUUACCAGAGCGUUCCCACCUUGGCUAGAGGCUGCCCCUCAGGGCACAGAUGGCUUUACACUGGGUCUUUUUCUCCCACACUCACAUGCAAGCCAGGAAAGGAGAGUCUGCCUCAAGUUCACCCCUCCACUGACUCCCUGUAGAGAUCUAGCACCCCAGUCCUGGAGCUGCAGGUGGGGCUCAGGACAUCGCUGAGAGCCAAAGGUCAUGGAAGCAGAGAAGCAGCGGCCGUGUGACAAACUCCAGGACCCAGAGAAGGGCCUUUGUCCCAACGUACUAGAGAUGAAGUGGCUACUGCUCGAGGCGUGUGGAUGGAUGACAAGCGUCAACAGCCAGUGGGAAGAACUGGAGAGAAUCUGCCAAGAAAGCCAUCAGUUUAACCAGGGAGAGUCCUUUAUUAUCAAAUGGAAGUGUGUGCUUGAAGGUGCUUUCCAAGCUAUAGAGUCUUCUAGAAGCGUGAGACAGCCAUGUCACCCUGAAUGUAGCAUAGCAGUUACAUUCUGCACCACAGUCCCAGAGACCUAGGGAGGCUUUAUCCAAGUCACCACCUUAACACUGGUCCAGGAAGGAACCAAACAUUUUCCAGGCAUCGUGGAGCAGUGGAAAGAAUGCUUCUGUCAGUGAGUUCAAGGCUCAGCUCUACCGCCUGCAACCUGUGUGACAUCAGGCAAAUUAUUCACCUUCUCUGUGCCUUGAUUUUCAAAGGUGCAAAAUUCCUAUGCUAUCUCCAUUGCAAUGUUGUUGUAAAGAAUAAACUAAAUACUCUAUACA
rnacentral:lncRNA from 1 species